GACGAACGCUGGCGGCGUGCUUAACACAUGCAAGUCGAGCGGUAAGGCUCCUUCGGGAGUACACGAGCGGCGAACGGGUGAGUAACACGUGAGCAACCUGCCCUUCUCAUCGGAAUAAGCGUUGGAAACGACGUCUAAUGCCGAAUAUGACUUCCUUUUGCAUGAUUGGAAGUGGAAAGCUCCGGCGGAGAAGGAUGGGCUCGCGGCCUAUCAGGUAGUUGGUGUGGGUAACGGCCCACCAAGGCGACGACGGGUAGCCGGCCUGAGAGGGUGACCGGCCACACUGGGACUGGGACACGGCCCAGACUCCUACGGGAGGAAGCAGUGGGGAAUGUUGGACAAUGGGCGAAAGCCUGAUCCAGCAACGCCGCGUGAGGGAUGACGGCCUUCGGGUUGUAAACCUCUUUCAGCGGGGACGAAGCGAAAGUGACGGUACCCGCAGAAGAAGGACCGGCCAACUACGUGCCAGCCGCCGCGGUAAAAC
rnacentral:rRNA from 1 species